rnacentral:lncRNA from 1 species
GGAAGAAUGCAGCACACACUUAUGGUAUGAACUGUCAGUCAGGUCUACAUCCCCUAGUUGGAUGUGUUCCACAGCCUGACUCAUCUUUCAAGGACAAGAUGGCGAGAACAGCAGUGAACAGUGACAACAAAGUUUCUGAGGUCUGGGUUAGGGGAAGCAAGCUGUCAUUCCAUGAGCUGGCUCAUGGAGAGGCCCACAUGGCAAGAAGCAUUGAGGUCUGCCGGCAGCUCCAUGCGGGAGCUUGGAAAUGGUUUCUCCUUCAAGAGAAUCGAAUGCCCCCACUUACAGCAGGCAGAGCUCAGGCAGAAAGGCAAGCAUGGGAGCAGCUGUAAAUACAGACUGUCUUCAACUACAGCAGAGAAGCCCUGUUGGAGACAGAGAAGGUGGGAUUUAUUUAUGGUGCUGAGGAUUGAACCUAGGCCCUUUGCACUGAGCAAUGUCCCUAGCCCUUUUUAAUUUUUUUUUGAGAUAAGGUCUUGCAAAAUUGCUAUUUUCCAGGCUGGGCUUGAACUUGUGACCUUCCCACUCAGCCUCCAGAGUGCGGGGAUCACAGACAUGCACCACCACACUCAGCCAGGUGGGUCAGUUAAAAAAAGGGUAGUCUGAGAGCUCCAAGUAGCCCUUCAUUCAUCUAGUUAACUAACAUUUAGAGCACCUACUAUGUCUAGGUACCAUGCCCUACCGGAAGGCUGAAAUGAAUAGAACAUGGGCUUUCUCUUGAAGAACUCUAUAGUCAAAGAAACCUCAAACUAAAUUCCACCAGACAUAACAGAUUUGAGCUGGGAGUGGUUAUACAACCCUGUAAUCCCAGUACUCAGGAGGCUGAGGCAGGAGAACUGCUGUGAGUUUGAAGCCAGCCUGGGCUACAUAGUGAGUUCAAGGCCAGCCUGAACUACAUAA